GCGAGUGUGGCGGAACUGGUAGACGCGCUAGACUUAGGAUCUAGUGCCUUCGGCGUGGGGGUUCGAGUCCCUCCACUCGCA
rfam:Flexistipes sinusarabici DSM 4947, complete genome.